UACAGAGGGGGCUAGCGUUGUUCGGAAUUACUGGGCGUAAAGCGUGCGCAGGCGGUUCGCUAAGUCCGAUGUGAAAUCCCCGGGCUUAACCUGGGAACUGCAUUGGUGACUGGCGGGCUAGAGUAUGGCAGAGGGGGGUAGAAUUCCACGUGUAGCAGUGAAAUGCGUAGAGAUGUGGAGGAAUACCGAUGGCGAAGGCAGCCCCCUGGGCCAAUACUGACGCUCAUGCACGAAAGCGUGGGGAGCAAACAGG
rnacentral:rRNA from 1 species